AUCGUAUAUGUGUGAGGAGAGAGGAGGGGGCCCUUUUCUUCCAUCUGCCACCUCCUCCUUCCUGUUUUACCUUCUCUCCCUCUUCGUGUGUCGAACACCGACGCACCACUGGGUUAAGGGCUCCAGGAGCCCGCUCCCCGACAUGAUCCCUUCCCCAAACCAGCAUCUCCGCUCUUCCACCUUACUCCCUUGGCUUUAGUGGGGCGCUGGCCCGGCCCUGUGUCGUUGCCCGGCUCUUCACUGUACAAGAGGCAUCCUAGCCAGAGAGCUGGCGGCUCCGCCUUGCCCUGUCCCGCCUCUGGAGUUAAGUGUCGCAAUAGUUUGGGGGGGGGGUGUUGCAGCCGUUCGUUCAGGAAGGUGUUGGAUAUAUCACGGAAUGAGGGUCAUCCGCACCGAUGCCAGCAGUGGGGGCACUCCCAGCUCUUCUGCUCCGUCGCCACUUUCCUACGGGCCGGACACUGGACUACUCGACAGAGGCUACGCGGGCUCUUGCUCUGCCAUGCUGAAAGUAGCCCAAAUGUUAUUGUUGCUGAUUGGAUUCAUUUGUGUAAGAUCUUCACAGUGGACAAAUCACAAUGCAUACAGCUACUUUGAAAUUGUCUGCAUAUAUGACUUAAUUAUGAUCUUCAUCUUUUACAUUAUCUACAUCUUUAGAGCCUAUCGAAAGUUGACUUGCAUCAGCUGGCCACUUGCAGAGUUUCUUCAUUACCUAAUAGGUACUAUUCUGCUUCUUAUUGCAUCCAUUGUGGCAGUUGCAAAAAGCUCCAAUUCAGCAGGCCUGGUAGCUGGAGCGGUCUUUGGAUUUUUAGCUACAUUUAUAUGCUUCCUAAGUAUAUGGCUCUCUUACAAAGUCUCUUGUAACACUCAGUCAGCAGAAUGGUGGAAUGGACAGAUGCGUGACAAAUUCCCAAGGAACGGGGCUUCACAAGUUGUUCAAGGUGGGGGGAACCCACAAGCAAGCACAUCACAUCUGUCUUUAGAGGAACAGUUGUCAGAUUGGAGCAGCAGAUAACCACAACUCAUGGAUCGGAAGAAGUGGAAAUGCAAGAUAGAGGCAGUGAGCAGGGGAAUGCAGAAGUAUCAAGUCCUACCACAUCAGAAAGUGUUCAUCUGAGUAUUGAAUCGCAGCAGACUCCAUCGUGCAGUGCAUGGAAUAUACAAGGACAGGAAUCUGAGCCCCAGCAGUCCAUAUCACAUGACAUAUAAGAACUGGCUUGUAAAAAGUCAAAAAUGGGGGAUGAGAAUCAGCAGUUUACACCUACAUACAGUGACAUUUCCAGUGAAGAGUGGGAUAUGUCAGAAACACAAUCAGCAGAGGAAUGGGACUCUGGAAGAUUAUGAUUCACUAAAUACACCAGAAGCACUGCCUAUGUACCUGGAGAGUUCAAGAAUGGCAGAGGGCCCUGCAGCAUUACAGAGUGAUAGAGUACUAUGAACGCUAUAGAUUUGUAAAUAUGGAACAUAUUCAAUCAUUCACACAAGCUAUAAAUGUUGUUCAUAAUGAGAUACAGAAUCUUUUGAAUCAUAUUUCCAGAGAUAUACGGCCCUGGACUUUGUACAAUUAAGGCUGGAUGUUGAGGAAUUAGGCAGGCCACUCUUUAGUGUUAGAAGGCCACUCGAGGAGUUAGAUGCUGAUCAGUAUCUUAGCUAUAUAGAGAGCUUAUUACAAAGCAAUGUGGAGAUCUUAUGAAGGAACUCUUUGGAAUUAACAGUCCCGAUUGUUAAAAACCACGAGGGGGGAGGCCUUAGAAAGUUAGGAACAGUUCUAUUCAGUAAAGUCUUGGAGAAGAAAAGGCAACACCUGGUUGAUUUCAAUGUGGAUGGCCUAUUUCUGUGUUUUGUGUGCAGCCUGCUGUCGUUGUUAGAUAACCACUUGUCUACUAAACAAGAAAUUAUCACCAGAGCAGGGGCGGGUUCUAAAUUUUUUUACUACCGGUUCUGUGGGCGUGGCUUAUUUUGUGGGCAUGGCUUGAUGGUCAUGUGACAGUGGGUGUGGCUUGACGGUCAUAUGACUGGGUAGGCGUGGCCAACUCAAUGUCUCUCAUGUCAAGGGGUACCUCGCCUGGCCUCUCCCCUCCUAGCCUUUUCACACCCAGCCUCAACGUUCUGCAAAAAUGUUGUUCACCUUUUUUCAACUUUAUUAUCUACAUACUAUAGAUCAGGGGUCUCCAAACUUGGCCACUUUAAGACUUAUGGACUUCAACUCCCAGAAUUCCUCAGCCAGCUUUGCUGUCUUUUUUUAAAAAGUUUUUUAUUUUCCAUAAUAAUUCCCACAAUUUGUCCAGUGUACAGUACAAUCACUUAUCCA